rnacentral:lncRNA from 1 species
AAAUGAUAUAUGUGUGACUGUCAUUCGGUUUCUUAUGGGGAGUUGUCAAGUGGCAAUCAUACCAAUUAAACUUCUUUUUUAUAGUCUGACAAUUGUUUUUUUACGUACGUUAGUCAGAGGUCGGAUUCAGGAUUUUUAAAGUUGGCGUAUGGCCAUAAAAGAGAAUGUAUGCCGCAGAGUGGAGCUUGGAAACAAUCUUAGACGAUUGUAUGCCAAAUGUUAUAUGUUUUUCCGAUCAAAAAGGGCGUAUUACCUUUACUUCAAUUAUACUGACAAAAUCUACGGAUUGUAACUCUUUCCUAACUUAUGAUGAACCACAGUUAUCUUUUUUCCUAUUAGAAAUUUAACAUGAGUUAUGCUUUUGCAAUGCUUAAAUAUUCGAGACUUUACAAGCGUUAGAUAUUCAAGUGGGAAAACAAAUUGCUGUACCUCUUUAUAACAACGUCGAAAAUAUACAAUAUACGAUUCUUCGCCAUGGCGGGCAAACAUAGCUAGAAUGCUACUUCAACAC